UAGAAGCGGUUAGUGGCGGACUGGUGAGUAACGCGUAAGCAAUCUGCCUAUUAGAGGGGGAUAACAGUGAGAAAUCACUGCUAAUACCGCAUAAGCUGUGAAUAUCGCAUGAUAUAAAUAGAAAAGGAGUAAUCCACUGAUAGAUGAGCUUGCGUCUGAUUAGUUAGUUGGUGAGGUAACGGCCCACCAAGACGAUGAUCAGUAGCCGGACUGAGAGGUUAAACGGCCACAUUGGGACUGAGAUACGGCCCAGACUCCUACGGGAGGCAGCAGUCGGGAAUAUUGCGCAAUGGAGGAAACUCUGACGCAGUGACGCCGCGUGCAGGAAGAAGGUUUUCGGAUUGUAAACUGCUUUAGACAGGGAAGAAAGAAAUGACGGUACCUGUAGAAUAAGCUCCGGCUAACUACGUGCCAGCAGCCGCGGUAAUACGUAGGGAGCAAGCGUUAUCCGGAUUUAUUGGGUGUAAAGGGUGCGUAGACGGGUAUACAAGUUAGUAGUGAAAUCCCUCGGCUUAACUGAGGAACUGCUACUAAAACUAUAUAUCUUGAGUACUGGAGGGGAAAGCGGAAUUCCUAGUGUAGCGGUGAAAUGCGUAGAUAUUAGGAAGAACACCGGUGGCGAAGGCGGCUUUCUGGACAGAAACUGACGUUGAGGCACGAAAGUGUGGGGGGCAAACAGGAUUAGAUACCCUGGUAGUCCACACCGUAAACGAUGGAUACUAGGUGUAGGUGGUGAUGAAUCAUCUGUGCCGUCGCAAACGCAAUAAGUAUCCCACCUGGGGAG
rnacentral:rRNA from 1 species